rnacentral:rRNA from 1 species
AGUGAACGCUGGCGGUAGGCCUAACACAUGCAAGUCGAACGGCAGCACAGUAAGAGCUUGCUCUUACGGGUGGCGAGUGGCGGACGGGUGAGGAAUACAUCGGAAUCUACUUUUUCGUGGGGGAUAACGUAGGGAAACUUACGCUAAUACCGCAUACGACCUACGGGUGAAAGCAGGGGAUCUUCGGACCUUUCGCGAUUGAAUGAGCCGAUGUCGGAUUAGCUAGUUGGCGGGGUAAAGGCCCACCAAGGCGACGAUGCGUAGCUGGUCUGAGAGGAUGAUCGGCCACACUGGAACUGAGACACGGUCCAGACUCCUACGGGAGGCAGCAGUGGGGAAUAUUGGGCAAUGGGCGAAAGCCUGACCCAGCCAUGCCGCGUGGGUGAAGAAGGCCUUCGGGUCGUAAAGCCCUUUUGUUGGGAAAGAAAAGCAGCGGAUGAAUCCCCCCACGUCUUGACGGUACCCAAUGAAAAAGCCCCGGCUAACUACGUG